GGCUCAUGCUUGUAAUCCCAGCACUUUGGGAGGCCGAGGCGGGCGGAUCACUUGAGGCCAGGAAUUUGAGACCAGCCUGGCCAAUGUGACAGAACCCCAUCUUUACUAAAAAUACAAAAAUUAGCCGGGCAUGGUGGUGGGCGCCUGUAAUCCCAGCUACUUGGGAGGCUGAGGCAGGAAAAUGGCUUGAACCCCGGGAGGCAGAGGUUGCAGUGAGCCGUGAUUGCGCUACUGCACUCCAGCCUGGGUGACAGAGCAAGAUUCCAUCUCAAAACAACAGCAGCACCAACAACAAAAACCAGGAAUCACAGAAUGUCUGGGGGAGGAUCUCUUAGGCUCCACAGCACCCCUCUCCUUGUCUUAUGGGUGUCGGGACAGAUGCCCAACCUGACACGCACACACAGGUGUACACACCUUCCAGGCACUCACAAGUUCAGUUGCUUUGGUAACAUCUGUUUGCUUUCCGUGGUUUGUUUCUGUCUCUCUGCUCCGUGUUUCCUGCCCUGGGGGGGCUACUCCCUUCCUCCCCUUCCUUAUCUGUUGCUCAGUCUUGGAGCUUGGCCUGGUCCCCAUGAGUUGCCAACUUGCCCCCUUUGGCCUCCUUAACAGGCCUGGAGAAGCUGAGCAAGGCAUGUGCAGAGGCAGAGCCGUUUCCGCUGCCGCCUGGCCUUGUCAGAGGGACCCCACCUCCAGAGCAUCAGGGCCCCAGCCUGGGAUGGGAGGGCUACUGGCUGCCAUCUGCCUUGGGAGCUGCCCCUGGCCAAGGCGGCCGGGGUUGGCAUCCACUGCGUUUCACUCUGCCCCUUUGCCCUGACUUCAGAGCUUGAAGGUGAACUCUGACCCCUUCACUCUAGGGUUAGGGACAGUGGGCACAGAGAGCAGGAGCAGACUUGCAUGAGGCCCCUGUCACUUUCCCACAUUGCACGCAGGCCAACCGGGUCCUGGGCAUGUGGGGCCUGGCCGCACUGCAGGUGGGCGCCCAGCAGUGUGAUGACUUCCUGGAGGAAAGCGUGGGGCGGGAGGUGCCUGGCUUGAAGUGCGGGGGGAGCUGGUGCUCUGUUUUAAGGGUCAAAGUGACAGGUGGAUUAUGAAGACCAGAAUCCCGCCCCCUCACCUCCUCUGGCUACUCUGGGCUCUGAGUUGGUGCUGAUCUCCGGCCACUGCCACAAGCCCCAAUGACCUCCAGCAUCUGCAGCAGGCUGCGGGCUUCCUCCUGAGGGGCAUGGGGUGCCGCCCUCUGGCAGCCCCCUGGGACAUUGCCAGAGGUUGGCCAGGCCUCUCAGGAAAAGGGAGAUGAGCUUCAGAGGCGCUGGGUUGAGGAAGCCGUGGUGGGAGGUAUCUAAGGUCACCACCUCUGACGGUGGUGGGACCCACAGCGGGUAUGGGGCAGCGGGAUCUGUGCUUUGCUGGCUUUCUGAGUCCAGGGGGCUGGCACAGGACCAGAAUUAGCCCCGGGUGCCAAGUUUACAGGGGGAAGUCAUCCAGAGCCCCAAACUCGCCCGCAGGAUGGGAGGUGGGGGUGUUCUGGGCAUGGGCAGGAGUGAAGGGCACAGGGUCUCAGGCUCAUUGUUCCUUGGACUCUGUUCCUUAGGUCCCUCUGUCGCCUUUGGCCAAUGCCACCCCAUCCACCCCUUCUGUCCACAAGCCAGCUUGGUCCCGACAAGGGGUCCUGGCUGGGCCCCCUGUUAGGCUGUUCCUGGCUUCAGAGAUCUGGGAACUGCACCGUAGCCGUAUUUACUGAGCACCCACUCCAGCGGGAUCUCCGUGCCUCGCGUGAUCUCCAAUUCUUGUUACUGUUCUUCCUGUUUUACAGAUGAGGAACCUUAGGCUCAGAGAGGCAAACUUACCUAUCCAAGGCUGCACAGCCCGCAAGUGAGAUGCAGCCUCCCUGUCCAGCCAGCCUGAGCCCUGCUUCUUCACCUGACCCUGCUCCCCAUCUGGUCUGGGCACGGAUUGGGUUAGAUCAUCCCAGCUCCCAGCAGGAGGGCACAGCUCUGGGAGCCAGGGUUUGGCCAGGUGCCCAGCAGGCAGGCAGGGCAGCCACAGCCAAGGGUUAACUGGCUGUAGGCUGGGAGCCGUACUCGGGGCUGGGCAGACAAGGUGCAAGGCCCUGGGAACCAGCUCCAGGCCGGGCUGACAGGGAGCUCCGCAGGCACCCCUGUCAGCCCUCGUGCCAGGACAAACAGGGCAAUUAGGAGGUGGCUUUUGUUUGGUGGGGCCUGAAUGCUGGGCAUGGAGCUGUGGGCGCUUCAGCCCCCACCCCGUCAUGUGGCGGGAAUCUGCUCAUUCAAGGGGACAGGGUCACAUGCGGAGUGUGACAGCAGACAACGGGACAAUGCCACUCUGUUUCCUCGCCCAGCUUCAGAAGCAAUGGCUGGAGGGCUGCUGCUUUUCACGGCACAGUGUGACUGGGGCCACCAGUCCCUCCCUCUCCUCCUGUCCAGGCAGUCAAAAGGGCUCCAGCCACCUCAAGAGCGAUCACAGGGGUGGCCCAGGCCAUGGGGCGCGGGCCCACCACCUUUGCGUUUCCCUCGCUCUGGGUUCUGUCUCGGGGGCCCCACUUGGGACCCACUGUGCAGGGCUGGAUUCCGUACCCGACGGUCUUGUCCCAUGUCACCUCUCUCUGAGGCAGGUGCUAUUCAUCCCAUUCCAGUGAGGGAGUCGGGGCUCAAGGGUGAGGUUGCUUCACCCAGAGGAGGGGCUUGGGUUAGGGCUGCUGGGUGAAAUUCAAGGUACCAAGUUAAAUCUGAAUUUCACAUAAACAACAAAUACAUGUAAACCUCUGACGCUGGCGGGGCCUACAGCGGGUAUCGGGCAGCGGGAUCUGUGCUUUGCUGGGUUCCUGAGUCCAGUGGGCUGGGACAGGACCAGAAUUAGGCCCAGGUGCCAAGUUUGCAGGGGGCUCAGCCAGAGCCCCGAACUACUACAGUCUUUAGUACAGACUAUCCUAAAAAAAAAAAAAAAAAAA
ensembl:lncRNA